rnacentral:ncRNA from 1 species
UAAAAAAUACGCAUUUGAACACCAUUUUCCAUUCUCAAAAUUUGCUCUCCAUUAUUGUAUGUAUUUUUGGCGAAAUCAUCAAAGAAAAGGAAUAGGCGUUCCCAUGAAGAUCUCCUAUUGAAAGAACUUUAUUUGUGAGAAAAAUGCUACAGUAACAUCAUUGAACCUUUUAUUCAACAUACAAAAUAUAAAACCGUUCCAUUUCAUUGUAUCCUUUUCUCUUGUUGUCUUUAUAUAAACAAGUUAAAAAAAUAAACAAGUUAAAAACAGGUUAGGGCCGACCUUUAAUACCGCCCUAACCAUAAACGAUGUCAGCUAGCAAUUGGGUGUAACUACUAUCAUGGUUCUCUCAGUCGCUUCCCGGGAAACCUAAGCUUUUGGGCU